rnacentral:misc_RNA from 1 species
GGAAGGAUCAUUACCACGCGAUCCAAAACGCUCACUCAAUCAACUUUUAACUUGUCAGGUGUUCCGCUCACGCGGCGCCCGGCUCGUUUGUAAUCUCACCCCUUUUUCAAACUCUAAUGAGGACACGAAGCAACUUCGGCAAAGCCCUGGGAUCGGCGAGUGUGCAGCGCUUUAUUGCGCCGCCGCCCGCCCCCCAGUACCAUAUCACAAUGCUUACAACUUUUAGCAACGGAUAUCUUGGCUCUUGCGACGAUGAAGAACGCAGCGAAAUGCGAUACGUAAUGCGAAUUGCAGAACGCGAGUCAUCAAAUCUUUGAACGCACCUGGCACUUCUGCGAGAGUGGAAGUAUGCUUGUUUCAGUGUCAUUUUUCCCUCCCACCACCCAGGCAACUGCGGUGGACCCGGGGUCGUUGAGCCGUCUCGCUGCUUACGCAGAGAUGCGGCUUCAAGUGUGGUAACAUGAAUGUGUGCAACCUCUGGCUGGCCGCGCUGACUGCGCUCCCGCUCCGCCUGGUUUUCGCAUGGUGUGGUAGUAGCCGCAAGGCUUCACAUGCCCCCAAGCGUAAUCAGUGUCGUGUGCGUUGUGCGUCGCGUGGUAUUCCAAACAGACUUCAGAGCGUAUGAUCACACCAGGUGGCUGGCACUGCGUUAAACGCUCGCCGCCGCCGCAAACCCAACCCCUUUUCUUUUGACCUGAAAUCAAGCAAGAGGACCCGCUGGAUUUAAGCAUAUAACUAAGCGGAGGAAAAGAAACUAACUAGGAUUCCCCCAGUAACUGCGAGUGAAGAGGGAAAAGCUCAACAUGUAAAUCGGUCUGGCAGCAAUGCUGAUCGAAUUGUAGUCUAGAGGAGUGAUGCCAGCCCGCCAUACCAGGGAGAACUUCCAUUGAAUGGGAGACCUCAGAGGGUACCAGUCCCGUCCGGGCCCUGGACAUGCGGCGUUCGGCGCGCUUCAACGAGUCGAGUUGCUUGCGAGUGCAGCUCUAAGUGGGUGGUAAAUUCCAUCUAAGCUAAAUAACAGCAAGAGACCGAUAGCGAACAAGUACUGCGAAGGAAAGAUGAAAAGAACUUUGAAAAGAGAGUGCAAAGGACUUGAAAUUGCUAAAAGGGAAGCGGACGGAGCCAGUAGAUGUGGCACCAGUUUGGUGUCGCAAGUGUCAGCAUCAGUUGUGGCCGUGGCAGCUCGGCUUGUGGGAGGUACGGCGGCCCUGCUUCGGCGGGUGUUCCGCCUGUUUAACCACGAGUACGUGCCGCGGCCGCGACUGAGGUGUAAGUGUCUCACGAUGCUGACGAAAUGGCUCCGCCCGACCCGUCUUGAAACACGGACCAAGGAGUCUAACAUAUAUGCGAGUACUCGGUGUCAAACCCGCGGUGCGCAAUGAAAGUAAAGGGGCCUUUGAGGCUCUGAGGUGGGAGGCGCAAGCCGCACCAUCGACCGAUCAUGAUUCUCUGAUGAAAGAUUUGAGUGUGAGCAUAUCUGUUGGACCCGAAAGAUGGUGAACUAUGCCUGUGCAGGGCGAAGCCAGGGGAAACCCUGGUGGAGGCUCGUAGCGAUUCUAACGUGCAAAUUGAUCGUCGGAUUUGGGUAUAGGGGCGAAAGACUAAUCGAACCAUCUAGUAGCUGGUUCCCUC